UACGGGGGGAGCAAGCGUUGUUCGGAUUUACUGGGCGUAAAGGGCGCGUAGGCGGCCAGCACAAGUCAGUUGUGAAAUCUCCGAGCUUAACUCGGAAAGGUCAACUGAUACUGUGCGGCUAGAGUGCGGAAGGGGCAACUGAAAUUCUUGGUGUAGCGGUGAAAUGCGUAGAUAUCAAGAGGAACACCUGCGGCGAAGGCGGGUUGCUGGGCCGACACUGACGCUGAGGCGCGAAAGCCAGGGGAGCGAACGGG
rnacentral:rRNA from 1 species